GCCCCCGUGGCUCAGUGGUCUGAGUGCGGACCAGUACUGAUAUUUCAAACACGUUUUCAAGUUAUUUUUCCAAACUGUAUUAGAAAUAUCAGGGCUGGUCCGGUUCGUGGUUCGAUUCCGCUCGGGGGCA